GUCCCCGUAGCUCAAUUGGAUAGAGCAAGUGGUUUCUAACCACUAGGUUGCAGGUUCGAGUCCUGCUGGGGACA
rnacentral:tRNA from 1 species